rnacentral:misc_RNA from 1 species
GCAAACUUGGUCAUUUAGAGGAAGUAAAAGUCGUAACAAGGUUUCCGUAGGUGAACCUGCGGAAGGAUCAUUAUUGAGUUAGGGUUCUCAUGAGCCCGAUCUCCAACCCUUUGUUUAAAUUACCAUGUUGCUUUGGCAGGCCCGUCUUACCUGGACCGCCGGGAACUUUUGUUCCUGGUCAGUGCCUGCCAGUAGCCAAUUUUAAUUCUUCUUAACUAUGAAGUCUGAAUUAUACCAAAAAUUUAAUUAAAACUUUCAACAACGGAUCUCUUGGUUCUGGCAUCGAUGAAGAACGCAGC